CGGACUUGUGACAAAGUUGUGCUAACAAGUCUGAUACAGUCAUGAUAUAACAAGUAUGUUACAAGGUUGACGACACAAGGUUUUAACAAUAUUGUUAUAUCAUGACUGUAUCGGCUUGUUGGAACAACCUUGCAACAAGUCUG